rnacentral:rRNA from 1 species
UGGGGAAUCUUGCGCAAUGGGCGAAAGCCUGACGCAGCGACGCCGCGUGCGGGAGGAAGCUCUUCGGGGUGUAAACCGCUGUCAGGGGGGAAGAACGGACGUGGGAGGCAAUGCUCACGUUUUGACGGUACCCCCAGAGGAAGCACCGGCUAACCCUGUGCCAGCAGCCGCGGUAAUACAGAGGGUGCGAGCGUUGUUCGGAAUUACUGGGCGUAAAGCGCGCGCAGGCGGCUUCUUAAGUCCGUCGGUCAAAUGCCGGGGCUCAACCCCGAGCGUGCCGAGGAUACUGGGAGGCUGGAGACAUGUAGAGGCAAGCGGAAUUCCGGGUGUAGCGGUGGAAUGCGUAGAGAUCCGGAAGAACACCGGAGGCGAAGGCGGCUUGCUGGGCAUGAUCUGACGCUGAGGCGCGAAAGCGUGGGGAGCGAA